CACUUGGAGAUGUAUAGCGAAAGCUAGUUGCAUUAACUAACUGUUAAUGCAGAAGCGACUAUGUCGUGUAAAGUUCAGGGUAGAGUUAUGAUAAUGACAUUUUCUAUCUGUGUGUCUCGACCAAACUACGUGCCAGCAGUCGCGGUAAUACGUUAGAGACUAGUGUUAUUCGUCUUUAGUAGGUUUAAAGGGUACCUAGACGGUCAUUUCAGCCCCUAAAGGGUACUGUUUGUACUAGAGUUUUAUGAGAGGGGGGGUGUACUAAUGGUGUAGAGAUGAAAUUCAGUCAUACCAUUACGAACAGGCAACAGCGAAGGCAACCCUUUAUGUGUAAACUGACGUUGAAGGACGAAGGCUUAGUCAACCAACAGGAUUAGAUACCCUAGCAGUCUGAGCAGACAAUGAUGAAUGCCAUAGAUUGGUAUAAAUAGAGGAAGAGGAAGGUAGUGAAAGUAUUUUUCUUGUUUAAAAAAAAACAUAAAUUGUAUGUCAUUCUUUUUGGAAAUUGUGACAAAUAAUUCUUUUCCGCCUUGGGGCUACGGGCCUUUAUCUUAAAAGAUUUUAUUUUCCACCUUGUCUAUAAAUGAAAGUGUAAGCAUUCCACCUCAAGAGUAACGUGGCAACGCGGAAACUGAAAUCAUUAGACCGUUUCUGAAACCAGUAGUGAAGUAUGUUGUUUAAUUCGAUAAUCCGCGGUACACCUUACCACAAUUUGUAUGUUUAGUAAUAAAUACAAGAGUUGCACGGCUGUCUUCAGUUAAUGUCGUGAGAUUUUGGUUAGUUCCAUUAAAUUAACGUAAACCCUUACUUUAUUUUAGUAAAUAGAGUAGUUCACCGCUAUAUUGGAUAUGAUAAAAGGGACUAAGACAAGUCAUCAUGGCCCGAAUAUUGUGGGCUAUAGACGUGCCACAUACGCCUAUACAAAGGGAUGCGAAAUUGCGAA
rnacentral:rRNA from 1 species